CGACGCUAUUUCUAUAUAAAGAGUUUGAUACCUAAAGCCGGAACAGCACCUACCUUAAGAUCUGAACCUCCAUUUUCAACAACAAAACAAAUUUACAGAAAUAUCAAAAAAUGGAUUCUGAGGGUAUUCUUUUGGGUAUGGGCAAUCCAUUGCUCGAUAUCUCAGCUGUUAUCGAUCAAGAUUUCCUCAACAAGUACGACAUUAAGCCGAACAAUGCAAUUCUUGCUGAGGAAAAGCACGUGUCUAUGUACGAUGAAAUGACAUCCAAGUUUAGUGUUGAAUACAUUGCUGGAGGUGCAACUCAAAAUUCAAUCAGAGUAGCUCAGUGGAUGCUUCAAAUUCCAGGUGCAACAAGUUACAUGGGCUCUAUUGGGAAGNGUAACAUGGUAAAGAGAGGCUUUAAUUUCAUAUGGUUUCUACACAUGGGUGCAUUUUAGGUUCACUACUAUGAGGAUGAGAGUCCAACGGGUACUUGUGCUGUCUGUGUGCUUGAUGGCGAAAGGUCGCUGGUUGCAAACUUAUCAGCUGCAAACUGCUACAAGGUUGACCAUUUGAAACGACCAGAGAACUGGGCUUUGGUGGAGAAGGCCAAGUACUAUUACAUUGCUGGAUUCUUCCUCACAGUUUCUCCAGAAUCUAUUCAGCUUGUUGCUGAGCAUGCAGCUGCCAAAAACAAGGUUUUCUCAAUGAACCUUUCAGCACCAUUUAUCUGUGAGUUCUUCAAGGAUCAACAGGAGAAAGUCUUGCCGUAUAUGGACUUUGUCUUUGGUAAUGAAACAGAAGCAAGAACCUUCUCUAGAGUCCACGGCUGGGAGACUGAUAAUGUUGAGGAAAUAGCUUUGAAGAUCUCGCAAUGGCCAAAGGCAUCAGGAACACACAAGAGAAUCACGGUCAUUACACAGGGUGCUGAUCCAGUUGUUGUUGCUGAGGAUGGGAAGGUGAAAUUGUUCCCAGUUAUUCCUUUGCCAAAAGAGAAACUUGUUGACACCAAUGGCGCUGGUGAUGCAUUUGUUGGAGGAUUCCUUGCACAGUUGGUCCAAGGAAAACCUAUUGAAGAUUGUGUCAAAGCAGGUUGUUAUGCAUCAAAUGUUAUCAUCCAAAGGUCUGGUUGCACAUACCCUGAGAAGCCCAAUUUUGAAUGAGGGAUUUUCUCUUGUGAUAUGUUCUUCUGUUAAGAAGAAACCUAUCCGGUUCUUAAUAGUAUUUUUGAUCUGGUUAUGCCAAUUGAUAAUGGUAUAUCCACACCAAUUCCCAUCCCAUAUGUUGUAAGGCAUUUUAAUUACCUUUUCUUCAUCAUUUGAGAAUAACAUUCUAUUGUUGUUUAUUGCAAUUACGAUGAUUCUAUAGGUUCCAUAAUAAGAAAGUGUUUCGGGUUAGUUUAUUUCAGUUA